ACUUAGACACCUUGGACUACAAAAGAGGUAUCACAGGGCAGGGGACUUGGGAGCCACUUUGUAGCUUUCUGAGACUCAGUUUCCUUACCUGCAAAACAGGGACCAUGAAACCUGCCUCACAGACUUCAGUCAUGUGCAGAGCCUGGGAGAGGUGCCUAUCAAGCCUUUGUUGGAUAAAAGAAGGAAGAUCCCACAUGCCGCAGAGCAACUAAGCCCAUGUGCCAC